GAAAAAUGUGCGGUAAAUGUUCUUGACAAACAGAGGGCGCUCUCUUCAUUACAUUACGACAGUGAUGCGGGCAAAUGUGCAACAUAAUUAAUUUAUGUGCAAUAUUUGAUCACAGCAUAUUUUUAAAUCAUCUUGUAUACAGUCACGCUAAAUGUAUAUUGUUAAGCUGAUCGACAAGAGGGUCGAAUAAUGAUGAAAUUGUUUCUACGUCAGUUGAAAAUAUAGGCAAUGUAAGCGAUGCAAAAUCUAAUUAUUUCUUUGCAAAACCUAAUUAGGCAUUAAAAAAGGUUAACGCCAGCGCCUGAAACCGUUUUUGUUUAAUAAUCCCAUUACUGACGGCUCAUCAUGUAUAAAAUGGCGCAGAAGGACACAAACUUUCCACUUGUUAAAGUGAAUCUCCCAGAAAAAGACAAGACAAACUCUACAUUAGCCCACUGGUAGGAUAUGACAGGAUACCAAACGGAAAAGGCGCAUCACAGCACUAGACGCAUUGAAGCCUGUCCAGCUCUGAGCUCGGCCUCACAGGCGGAUGAUUGAUGAGGGAUGGGGGCAAGGCCGAGCACGCACAGCAUAAAGACCCAUACACGGCUCAAUAAAGCCGGGCCUGAGCGGGGACCGGGCGCGCUCAAUAGACGCUGGCGCGAGUAGAUUGAGGCCAACGGCAGAGAGGAAGGUGCUCUGUUGUCCCAUAAUCCAGUUAGCCAUUGAGCCACCAGCCGUCUACAGCACGAUAGAGGGAGAGAGCUAGCAAAGGAUGGGCGAGGAGAGGACAAGACUGAAAUGUUGGAUGGCCCAGAGGGGGGUUUGGGAGAGAGGCAAAGCUCCCAUCCCCUGCUGAGGAGAAACGCAUAGCUGGAGACUGAAAAGAAAAAAAUAAAGCGAGUCAGUGCAGGAGAAAAUUGCACAGUCCCACGCCGAGACAAUAUUUUGUAAAACAAAUUGCAAAGUGAAUGUUGAAUCAGACUUAUUUGGUAUUUUACAAAAUAAUAUUUUUUUUAAUCUAAAUCUUAUCUUUUGUAAAAGCAAACAAAUUAUUAAUAGACAAUUAUUGAUAUUAUUACUAUUAGUUUAUGCAUUUUUUAAAUUAAUAUUAUAAUUUUAUACUAUAUAAAAUAUAAUAUUUAUAUAGUUAUUACUGGAUCUGAUAUGAGAUGUGUAAUGCUAAGCUAUUUAACUGAUUAUGCAGUGCAAUUUUACCGCAAUCGUUCAUUGAAAUUGCAAUGCAAUUUGUGGAAGAAUUAAACAGAGAAGAUAUCCAGUCAUUAAACUGUGAAAUGAUUUUUUCAUUUUAUUGCAGUUCAAUAAAUGACAAAUUGCUAAAUCACCAACGCAGUUAACAAGUAAAGAUGGAUACAAACACAUGAAUAGCCUACAAUCAGGAUCCAUGACAAGUGCUCCUGCACACCAUGUUCUCUGCUUCACUCCACCUCACCAUUUUCAGACACAGCAUCAGUCAAAACCACAAUUAGUAGUCUCUAAUCUCCUGCCAAGACUGUCUUUCAUCCAACCAAGGCCACAGACAAGGUAUCCUGCAGAACUGCCUUGUUCCUGGAGGCCAGAGAGACAGCAGUGAUGGAGAAUGAGAGGGAUGAAGCAGUCAGACUGCACUUUACUGCCUGCUGGGAUUCUCAGCAGGUUUCUCACAAUUGUUUUUUUAUUUAAAUUGCUACGAUGUAAGAAAGAUUUUCACAUUAUUCUUAAGGAUGAUCUGAUCAUUUUAAACAUUGCGUUAUAUAAUCUUAUUCACACACAUACAUUUUUUUUACAGUGAUGUAUAAUUUCGCUUUGUCAUUAUCCUGUGAAGAAAUUCUUGUGCAAUAAAGAUCUAUUUCUA